AUUGAACGCUGGCGGCAUGCUUUACACAUGCAAGUCGAGCGGCAGCGCGGGGGCAACCCUGGCGGCGAGCGGCGAACGGGUGAGUAAUGCAUCGGAACGUAUCCUCGAGUGGGGGAUAACCCAGCGAAAGUUGGGUUAAUACCGCAUGAGCUCUGAGGAGGAAAGCGGGGGACCUGCGAGGGCCUCGCGCUGGAGGAGCGGCCGAUGUCCGAUUAGCUAGUUGGUGGGGUAAAGGCUUACCAAGGCGACGAUCGGUAGCUGGUCUGAGAGGAUGAUCAGCCACACUGGGACUGAGACACGGCCCAGACUCCUACGGGAGGCAGCAGUGGGGAAUUUUGGACAAAGGGGGCAACCCUGAUCCAGCCAUGCCGCGUGAGUGAAGAAGGCCUUCGGGUUGUAAAGCUCUUUCGGACGGUACGAAAUGGGCGGGACUAAUACUCCUGUCUGAUGACGGUACCGUAAGAAGAAGCACCGGCUAACUACGUG
rnacentral:rRNA from 1 species